CGAAAGAGAACCUGCACACAGGUGCUGCAUGGCUGUCGUCAGCUCGUGUCGUGAGAUGUUGGGUUAAGUCCCGCAACGAGCGCAACCCUUGCCCAUUAGUUGCUACGAAAGGGCACUCUAAUGGGACUGCCGGUGACAAACCGGAGGAAGGUGGGGAUGACGUCAAGUCCUCAUGGCCCUUAUAGGUGGGGCUACACACGUCAUACAAUGGCCGGUACAGAGGGUAGCCAACCCGCGAGGGGGGAGCCAAUCCCACAAAGCCGGUCGUAGUCCGGAUCGCAGUCUGCAACUCGACUGCGUGAAGUCGGAAUCGCUAGUAAUCGCGGAUCAGCAUGUCGCGGUGAAUACGUUCCCGGGUCUU
rnacentral:rRNA from 1 species